rnacentral:lncRNA from 1 species
CGGGGAUCGACUGAGGGGGUUCGGAGACCCGGGAGCGCCCGGCGUCUGCGUGGGUGGUGGGGGAGCUGGGAAGCAGAGGCCCAAGCCGGGGUUGUGGGUUGGAGUACUCUGGGCUGCGGCAGGGAGGGACUCCCCGCGGUGCCUGCUGUUAGCUGUGGGGUGAGGACCGCAGCGAUUGAGGCGCUUCGGGAGGACCCUACCUUCAGGGCAGAGCAUCCAUUCUGGGAAAGCCCUUGCUCACCAGAGCGCCCGGGAAGACAGCGUGGAGGCUGGACAGAGAAGAUUGCUUGGUGCCAGAGAUCGUGGGGCCACCUGUGUCAUCCUUUUGCUUGGGGGGAUGGAAGGCUCCUUUCCAGCGCCAUCACCCGGGGGAGCAUCCUUUGGAUCAAAUUAGAACAAAGGUUAAAUACCUGAAGGUAAAGGUGAGCCACAUGGUUGGCUAAGUUGGGAUGUCAAGGAUGCCUCUGAAAUAGAAAUCACAGUGCUCACAGAUGGACCUGGUUUCUCAAUGUGAAUUGCACAAGACAGCCUCCUAAGAAUGGGUAUGUGAAAUGUCAUAGGCUCUGAGAGGUGUGUU